ACAUGCUUACAACAUAGCAUUAAUACAACGGAUCCCAUUAUAACUCCGCAGUUAAGCGUGCUUGGGCUAGAGUAGUACUGGGAUGGGUGAUCGCCUCGGAAGUCCUAGUAUUUUACAUGCC
rnacentral:rRNA from 1 species